AUUCCAGCUCCAAGAGCGUAUAUUAAAGUUGUUGCAGUUAAAAAGCUCGUAGUUGGAUUUCUGGUCUAAUGCGCCUGGCCCGCUGCCGUUAGGUAUGUGAGUGCCGGUGCGCGUUUACCAUCCUUCCAGAGAACACUUCUACCAUUUAUUUGGACGGAUGUUGUCUUCUGGAUCUUUUACUUUGAAAAAAUUAGAGUGUUUAAAGCAGGCCUUUGCUGUGAAUACAUUAGCAUGGAAUAAUAAUCUAGGACUUCGGUUCUAUUUUGUUGGUUUCUAGUACUGAAGUAAUGAUUGAUAGGGAUAGUCGGGGGCAUCAGUAUUCAAUUGUCAGAGGUGAAAUUCUUGGAUUUAUUGAAGACUAACUACUGCGAAAGCAUUUGCCAAGGAUGUUUUCAUUG
rnacentral:rRNA from 1 species